AGAAAGUAUCUGCUCACUAGUCUUUUGCUGUUGUUAUUUUUUUUUCUGAAUGCUCCAAUUCAAAAACCUCAUCCUACCACAUUUUUUAGUCGUUAAAUCUCCCUGUCCUUGUGGCUCUGUCUCUAUGCACCAGAGAAACGACCUCAUUAACAAAGUAGUUCUGUGCGUCCUUAACACUGAGGCCCUAGACUUCAGCUGGAGGCAGCUCUCUGCUCAGCCCGCAGUGCCGAGUGACACAGGCAGGCGACAUCAUCUGAGUACUAACUUCUACUACAUCCAGACAGACUGCGAGAACCAUUUCCGAAUCGUGGCAAGACGUAAGAGCAGCAAAGGGUUAGCUGCAAAGUUUUGGACAAGACCUCUACAGGCAACUGGAAGCACAGUGUACCCAGGUGGUGGGUCUCGUCUGUGGCAAUAUAUUUUUCUGUCUGUCCAAUUGAAUAUGGCUGUAAAGGGAAUAAAACCCCAUGUAAUCUCCAGCAGUGACAAUUUAAUCAGUUGUGUAAGGGGAAGAAGCAGAGUCCUCUCAUUUUCAUAUUUGCAUAUUUGAUUUUCGCUUUGGGGAAUAGAGGUUAUGUGUUUCUAUUACUUCCCGUUCAAUUUUAAUAUUUAACCCAUUUAGGAGCAAAUUUUUUCUCAUGGUAGGAAAUAUUGAGUCAAACUGGUCAAAAAAUAAGAUUUCAUUUCUGAAAUAAAGCUCUGGAUGCA